AAAACUAUCAGUAAUUGAUUGGAACGUAAACAAACGUUUUUGGUAAAAAGGGUGCGAGUCCUAAUCAAUCAACCGUCACUAAUGUUACCUAUCAUAGCUAAGUUACCUGGAUAACUAAGUUACCUGGAAAGCUAAUUAGCCACACAUUCACCCAACGACCAACAAUGGUGCUCAUUGAGUGUCAUCAUGAGCAGGAGUAAGGGUGGCAGUGACAUUCAUCAGUUUUUUGGGCAGCCUCAGAAAAGAAAAAUAAGCUGAGAACAGUGAGAAAAUGAGUAAUAGUCAGAUGAUAGAAGUAUACAGUAGCACAAGAGAGUAAAGAAAGAGAGGAAGUGAGAGAGAGCGUGAGGAUGACAACAGGGCCAGGGAGAGCAGGUGACAUGGAGAGAGACAGAGGAAGAGAGAGAGGGAGGAAGUGACCUAUAUAGAAAGCUGUUCCGAGCCCCAUCCAGCUCCAGCUGCCUGCUGCAUUUCAAGAAGGGGGCUCCUAUGAAUAAUGCAGAGAAUGCCUCAACACCCUCAACACCACAGCCUUCAAUAAAACCAUCCUUAAUGAGUGUUAAUGACAGUGAGGCGCUGAGACAAUCAAAGGCUGUGUAUGUGUGUGUGUGUGUUUGAGUGUGUGUGUUUGAGUGUGAGAGAGGUGUGUGGAGGCGCAGAGCAGUGCCAUUGCCCUGGGCGCAGUCAAGGUUGCCCUAGGUGAUAUCUGAGACUUUGAAAAGUACAUGAAAGCUCGAGGAACUGACAGGGCAAGCAAACCCAUGGUAUGUGUAGGUUACCUAGGGCGUUAAUGGAAGGACGAUACUGGGAGAAAUUUUUCUGGGGAUGUUCAUGAGUUUGAAUGUGACAUGGCUUGGAUUUUUCUGGUUACUGUCAAUAGUUUAGGCUUUGAAUUUUGUGGGCUUACUUUUUUUUCAGAAGGUUACUGAACUUUCAGAUAACACUGUCCCAAAGUUUCCAACUGAGUCCUUUUUAAUGGUAGUCUACAGAGCUCCAUACUUGGCAGUUCUGCCCCGGUAUGUUGGACAUUGAUAGAUGGACUGAGACACACCCUCCUCAGACUGACCCGUCAGGGCCACCCACCCAGCAGAUGUAGAGAGCCACGACUUGCGUUCACGUGUCAGCGCCCAGAUAGAUGUUGCCUGGGGAAGUACAUGGUCAUGAUGAAUAGCCUCUGCACGUCCACCAUCCCUCCAGCCAACCACAGGUCCUGGACCCACAGUGGAGGUUUGGCUCUGACUAUAUAUGAGAAACAAUGACAGCUGGUUACGAUGUUGACAUCUGCUGGAAGCACAGAUGUCAACUUCAUGAGGGUUUUGUAAUUUUUCGGUUUUUUUAACAAAAAACUGAAGUUAGUUUCAGAACUGGACAUUAGGUAUUGUCUGUUAUGUAUAGAAAACUUAAAUAGGCCUACUAGUUACUUUGAUAGGCCUACUAGUUCAAUGCAGCAUGAUGCUCAGUGAACCAGAACCUGGGUUUUCACACAGGACUGAGUCUCGUCACCCGGGAUUUGAUAGCUAUGCUAAUGUGAAAUCUGGAUGAGAAGCAUAUUCAGAUCGGUGGAUAGGGUCUGCACAUUUAAAGGGUAAUUAGUAAAAGUUGGGUAGAUGGAAUGUUUUGUUUGUUUUCAGAUCUGACAUUAGUCUGGCUGCUUUCUCUAUACAAGUAGGGAUUUGCAACCCGCCGUUUCUCAAUAUAAUGAUUUUUCGGGUUGUCUUUAAUACUCCAAAUAUGAAUGAG
ensembl:lncRNA